GUGACUGAACCCGAAGUGGUGGAGGGGCUGGUCUGUGACACCAGUGUUAGCGAGUUCGACUCUCGUCAGUCACCCCA
rnacentral:tRNA from 9 species